UCUACUGUCCGCUGCGAGAUCUUGGCUGGAAUGUAAAAGGAAUAUCCAAAAUAUUUAAAUGACAAACAGGAUGGGAACUGAUUAUGAGGAAUAUGCUGAAACAGACAUCUGGCAUAUUCCUAUAAUCAGUAUCAUGGCCUUUGUAUACAACAAAAUUGAUUGGAACUCCUAGACUAGAAAUAUAAUUCAAGAUUUAAAUAAGGCACUGGUCAUAGUUUUAGAAAGUGUGGCUAGCAUUUUGGUAAGAUAUUUUAUUGAUAAUUAGAAAUUAAAUUAAAUUUUAUUUAAUGAUUUUAAAUUUCUUUUUUAAGAAUUAUGGUCCAUUUUUUCCCCAUUUGUGUACAAAGAAGGAAGACAGAGAGAUGGGAAGACAUCAAAGAAUGGACAGGUCUGCCAUGAAAUGGUUUAUCCAGGGCUAAGUACAGAGAGGAAUAUAGAAGGGCUGUUGACAGAUCUUGUGUGGUGCCCCCAAGGUUCAACAGACUGAUUGAUAGAAAAUAAUACCAGGGUUAUGCUCCUUUGACCAUUGAGUUCCAGGAUGAAGAAUGAAAGACAAGAGAGCAAUGUGAAGACAUCAAAGAAUGGGCAGGUCUGCCAUGAAAUGGUUUAUCCAGGGCUAAGUACAGAGAGGAAUAUAGAAGGGCUGUUGACAGAUCUUGUGUGGUGCCCCCAUGGUUCAACAGACUGAUUGAUAGGUAAUGG